GAUAACAAGUCUACGUGUUUUUCGAAUUGGACAGGAGGAGAUUGUUAUAUAUUUAAUUGUACCACUAACUUAUCAAGGAAUUGUGAAUCAUGCAUCUAUGACACGUGUACAUGUGUAUCUAAUUUAACUUGGGAAGAUUGUUCUAAAUACAAUCGUACAACACGCGCAUGUAAGAACGGUGGAUCUUGCAACAAUGUCAAUUGUACAUUUUUAUUAAUUUGGAAUUGUCAAGACUGUUCUAUAUACAACUGUACCACAGGCUUAUAUAGGAAUGGGGAAUCAUGUGUGAACGAAACGUGUAUAUGUAUAUCAACUGUGACUGGGAAAUAUUGUUCUUUGCAAAUAUGUUGCACAGGAGAAUCUGGCAUUUCUAGAAAAGAUAAUGCUGCUACAAGAAACUAUGUGCUGCACUACACAUUGCUAGGACUCGCCCUUAUAUUUAUGACGGUCAUUUGUCUAUUGACGGUUUGCAUAUACAGUAAGAUGCAAAAAGCCCGUUCCCGUUCGAGACAGAUAGACGAUGUAACAAGAACACGUCCAACUAAAACUUAUAAUGCAUACGAUACCGACCGUAACGAUUCAACUUGGAUUACUCGAGUUGCACCAGUUGUGUGAAGAAAAAAAAACAAAUUGCCUGUAUAAACAUGUAUUAAUUGUUAAACGUAUCGCUGAGCAUUGCCUUUGCUAUUGUAUUAAUGUGAAGGUAGAAGUGACACUGCUUUGAGUAAACGCACAUUCGUCAAUGUGUCGUAAAAGAAUCAUAAAAUCUAAAGAAAUUAAAUGAAUUUCAAAGGAAAUCUGUUGUAAUUGAAAUCAAUUGCGUUGCUUUUAAUCACCAAUUAUUGUGUUUUAAAGAAAUUCGUCUAAUUAUAUGCAUUGUCAAAGA